rnacentral:rRNA from 1 species
UACAGAGGUCUCAAGCGUUGUUCGGAUUCAUUGGGCUUAAAGCGUGUGUAGGCGGAUUGGUAAGUACCUUGUGAAAUCCCACGGCUUAACCGUGGAACUGCUUGGUAUACUGCUUAUCUUGGGCCACUUAGGGGCUACCGGAACAAACGGUGGAGCGGUGAAAUGCGUAGAUAUCGUUUGGAACGCCAAUGGUGAAAACAGGUAGCUGGGAGUGUGCCGACGCUGAGACACGAAAGCCAGGGGAGCGAACGGG